AUGGAGGUCAUAAUAACUUGCCUAUAUAACAUCAAAUUGUGGUGCUCUUUUUUUUUCAAAUUUGAUUAAGCUUUUGUGCUUUAUGAUGUGGUGGCAUCUCUUAAUGGUGUAGCAUAUCGACUAGUUAGGGCUAACUAUCACCUAGAUCCCGAAAUAGGCUAUUUAAAGCAAUUUUUUUUUCAAGAAAAGCUUUGGGCCUAUUGAACCACUCCUCAAGUUCCAACUGGAGAGAUGCCCUUCAAUCUUUUCUUAGGAACUAAAGUGGUAAUUGUGGUCGAGAUCGAUCUUCCGACG
rnacentral:lncRNA from 1 species